AUCGAACGCUAGCGGGAUGCUUUACACAUGCAAGUCGAACGAGUGGCGGACGGGUGAGUAAUAUAUCGGAACGUGCCCAGUAGCGGGGGAUAACUACUCGAAAGAGUGGCUAAUACCGCAUACUAUUGGCGCGGCCGAGAUGGGAUUAGCUAGUUGGUGGGGUAAAGUCUCACCAAGGCAACGAUCCGUCGCUGGUUUGAGAGGACGAAGAGCCACAAGUGGACUGAGACACGGCCCAUCCUCCUACGGGAGGCAGCAGUGGGGAAUUUUGGACAAUGGGGGAAACCCUGAUCCAGCCAUCCCGCGUGUAUGAGAAGGCCUUCGGGUUGUAAAGUACUUUUUGCAGAGAAGCGGUAUCUGCAGAAUAAGCACCGGCUAACUACGUGCCAGCAGCCGCGGUAAUAC
rnacentral:rRNA from 1 species